rnacentral:rRNA from 1 species
UAGUCCACGCCGUAAACGAUGAUAACUAGCUGUCCGAACCCACAGGGUUUGGGUGGCGCAGCUAACGCAUUAAGUUAUCCGCCUGGGGAGUACGUCGGCAACGAUGAAACUCAAAGGAAUUGACGGGGGCCCGCACAAGCGGAGGAACAUGUGGUUUAAUUCGAUGAUACGCGAGGAACCUUACCUGGACUUAAAUGUAGAUUGCAUAGAGUGGAGACAUUCUUUUCUUCGGACUAUCUACAAGGUGCUGCAUGGUUGUCGUCAGCUCGUGCCGUGAGGUGUCGGGUUAAGUCCCAUAACGAGCGCAACCCCUAUCGUUAGUUGCUAGCAGGUAAUGCUGAGAACUCUAGCGAGACUGCCACCGUAAGGCGUGAGGAAGGUGGGGAUGACGUCAAAUCAGCACGGCCCUUACGUCCAGGGCUACACACGUGUUACAAUGGCAGGUACAAAGGGCAGCUACAUAGCGAUAUGAUGCUAAUCUCAAAAACCUGUCUCCGUUCGG